rnacentral:sRNA from 1 species
GGCCACUCAAGCCAACCAAACCUCAUCUCUUUUCUUCGAACAUUCAACAUCAACGUUUGUCAACAUCACUGUUUACUGCGGUAUUACCAACGCAAUUGUCGCACCAAUCACUACCAUCUACAACAUGAGCCCCAUCCCAGACGCUGACCCCGACGAACCCGUCGAAACCAAGCCUUUCAAAUUCGUUACUGCCGGUAUGUAAUAAAGAGAGAAAUGAGCUUUAGGAUAAGGAGCACAAUCAUUUCCCCAUGGCUUCCCCUACAUUCCGAAGGACCCAUUGAAAAAACACCGACUUUAAAGGUCAAAUGGCUGACCUUGCCACGAUAAAACAAACAAAUAAGGCUACGAUGCCCGUUUCCCCAAUCAAAACCAAACGAAACACUGCUGGCAAAAUUAUGUCGACUACCACAAGUGCAUCAUAGCCAAGGGUGAAGACUUCCGCCCUUGCAAACAGUUCUAUCUCGCCUACAGAUCACUCUGCCCGAAGGGUUGGACCGACAGAUGGGAUGACCAACGCGAAGCCGGCAACUUCCCCGCCCGUCUCGAUCGGUAGUCGAUGUGCAUUAUAUUAAAAGAGUCCGUUGUCGAUGAAUUAUAGAGGAUUGAAAGGAAUUUUUGUUUUAUUUUAAACAAAAGGAGAUGGACAAUAAUAAAAAAAAAUGAUCAGUGGACACAAGCUCUGUAUCAAAUAUAUCAACAUAACACGGGACAUCUAUGAAUUAUUCCCCUGUACAUGAGUGCAAACUCACCUCUCAGACGCCCACCUCCCCACAUUUUUUUUGUAAUAGUAGACAAUGGUCAAUUAAUGGUCAAUCAGCAACUUUGAGAGGACCUUCCAAUGCAUAUACAGGAUAUAUUUUGAAAAAAAAAUACGUUUAGGAAGUCGUCUAUUCUCACGUUAUUUUCUUUACUUCAAUUUUGGUUGCAAUUUUGUUUUCAGAAAAGACAGGGCAAAAUAUUCAGUUGUUCCUGCCUAUCCUCGGUAGUUUUCAUUCGCGGGAGUGAUAUGUCAUUUUAUUAGACUCUUGAAAUAACAAGAUGAGCAGACAAGUCACAAUGAAAUGACAUGUGUAGCUCACGAAGGUUGAACUCGUGUUUUCUACACGAUUAUCUCAUUCAUCCCGGGCCUAGCUGCAAGAAUAACG